CGGACGGGUGAGUAAUGUCUGGGAAACUGCCUGAUGGAGGGGGAUAACUACUGGAAACGGUAGCUAAUACCGCAUAACGUCGCAAGACCAAAGAGGGGGACCUUAGGGCCUCUUGCCAUCGGAUGCGCCCAGAUGGGAUUAGCUAGUAGGUGGGGUAACGGCUUACCUAGGCGACGAUCCCUAGCUGGUCUGAGAGGAUGAUCAGCCACACUGGGACUGAGACACGGCCCAG
rnacentral:rRNA from 1 species